UACGGGGGGAGCAAGCGUUGUUCGGAAUUACUGGGCGUAAAGGGCUCGUAGGCGGCCAACUAAGUCGGAUGUGAAAUCCCCAGGCUUAACCUGGGAACUGCAUCCGAUACUGGAUGGCUUGAAUCCGGGAGAGGGAUGCGGAAUUCCAGGUGUAGCGGUGAAAUGCGUAGAUAUCUGGAGGAACACCGGUGGCGAAGGCGGCAUCCUGGACCGGCAUUGACGCUGAGGAGCGAAAGCCAGGGGAGCAAACGGG
rnacentral:rRNA from 1 species